CCGGCGGUGUUCCGGCGGUGUUCCGGUGUUCUGGUAGUCAGUGUUUUACUACAUGCCUGCCCCACGAUUGCAUUGUUUUAUUAAACAAGAUGAAAUAUGUUUUGAAGGGAGUAAUUUAGGCGACGAAUUAAAAUGAAAUUGCUGUAAUGAUGUUUUCGGUUAUACCAAAACGUUACUAGAGGCACGGUAAUUUGUGCCUCUCUCUUGCAAUAUACAGUUGUUUAAUUAUAAUUUCCCCUCAGGUUAGAAGAGUGUUUCUAGUUUGACUGCUACCAUGCAAGCACGGCAGGUUUUCGCCAGAUACUCCGCGGUUUCCUCUUGGAAUAAUGCUGCACCUGUGCACUGGAACCACCUCACUGGACCUCUAGGGAGAACGUUUUAGAACGGAUAGAGAGCUAUCCAGUUACUUUAAUGCACAUGUAUAGUUCUAAAAUUCAUAUAUUAAAAUAGAUUGCGUGACGACAAAUAUUGUUAGCUAACGUACAUUCAGCUGUUCGAUUUAUAUUAUAUAAGUGCAUAUGUAAAUUUAUCAGACCUAUACCUUGCAAAAUUUAAUAAAACCGUAUACAGCUUUCAUAUAUGCCUUUGGAGUAAACUGUCUUGGUGUAAAUCAACACUUUUAAUAUGUUCUCUUGGAGAAAGUGCAAUCAAAAUUUGAUUUUUAAUCUUGGAACACUAUAUAUUGUGUAUUUUGACAACUUUAUGCUCCUGUGGCCUUUAAUUAAACAUUAAAAUUAAUAAAAUAAUAUAAUUAAGACGUCAUGCAUGUGCAUUUGGAAUACAGGAUCAUGUCUACAUGAUCAUGUCUACAUCAUGUCUACAUCAUGUCAUGAUCAUGUCUACGGAUCAUGUCUACAUCAUGUCUACAUCGCUACGCGAAAAGAAAAUUUUCAUUUGCAAAACCAGACCUUAACUGCGCAUGAUCUAUAAUACUUUUUGCUUAUCGCUGAGAAAAAAAAGUGAAGUGUGUAAGCUAUAUCAUGGAGUAAACUUUCUUGGUGUAAAUCAACACUUUUAAUAUCUCCCCUUGGAGAAAGUGCAAUCAAGAUUUGAUUUUUAAUUUAGAAGAACGACUAUAAUAUAGUGUGUGUUUUGACAACCUUAUGCUCCUGUGACAACCUUAUGCUCAAAAAAAAAAAAAAAAUAAAUAAAAAAAUUGAACACUAAAAUUAAUAAAAUAAUAUAUUUAAGACCAAACAGACGUCAUGUACAUUUAGAAUACAGGAAAUUACCAGAUACGUCAUGUGACGUUCUACAUCGCCACGCGAAAAGAAAAUUUUCAUUUGCAAAAUCAGAUCUUAACUGCGCAUGCUCAGCUCUAUAAUACUUUUUGCUUAUCGCUGAUAAAAAAAACGUGAAGUGUAUAAGCUAUAUAUAUUAUAAGCUAUAUACAUUUGUAUCUGGGAAUCUUGCUUUUCCCCAUCUGGGAAUACACAUGCAUGUAUGCUUGUAUUGUGGUUUAUGUAUAGACUUAAUUGUUCGUGAUUUAGAACAUUAUAUUUUUAAAUUACUUUCCCAACUUGGAGAUAACGUUGCGUGAAAGGUAAUGACUGCCGAUUAAUAUCUUCUAGAUGAUCUCUUAAACACUAAAGGCUUAUAGAACAGCUGCAUGCCAACCCGCUUAAAUUGUUUACAUGCAAACAUUUACAGACAAUUUACGUCGUUACUGUGUUAUAUGUGGCAAAAUGUUAAUUAUUUGUCACAGUAUCUCGUUAUUAAACUUUCGUUGCAGAAUGUUGGAAAAAAUAUAAAUAUUUAUGCUCAAUCGAGGCAAGUUUACGACAGGUUUACGCCCAACAAAGUAAACUGCCAAAUUAAUAUAAAUGCAAAACCCUGGCCAUCUCUAUUACUGUAUUAGUCCCUUCGAACGAUAUUCGGUAUUUUCCCAUGUUCAAAAAGGGAUAACCCUUAUACUGAACCUUUUGGGACAAUACUUUGUCUUUGGACAGAAUCGAUAGAGCUAUCCAGUAUAAAUGGAUAAAUAAACAGAAAAGAUUAGAUAACGUUAAACGGAAUUCACAAAAGUCAUAAACUUGCAACUAUACCGGUAAGUGUUUAUGUGCAGCUGUUCUCUGUCUCUGUUACUCUGUAUAGUCUUCUAGUCAGCGACGAUCGUCAGAACUGCAGUGUCGCUUGUUUGACCCCAGCUUACAAAUACGGAGAUAAUUCCAGGUUUUUGGUUUUGUCUUCUAUUCGCAAGAAAGCCAUUGCGCAGAAAACCGUUUGGUGCAGUCCUAAAUAUUGCAAACGAAUUUAGUUGCCAUCGUGACCGAAAUAUAUAUGCGUGAUGGGAUUGAUGGCAAGACUCGAGAGUAAUUAUGUUAAAGCUUUUAAAUUUAAGUAGGCAUGGAUAUGAUCAUUAUAUGAGCCAC
rnacentral:lncRNA from 1 species